rnacentral:rRNA from 1 species
GUGCCAGCAGCCGCGGUAAGACAGAGGGUGCAAACGUUGCUCGGAAUUACUGGGCGUAAAGCGCGUGUAGGCGGACUGAUAAGUCAGAUGUGAAAUCCCCGGGCUCAACCCGGGAACUGCAUUUGAAACUGCUAGUCUGGAGUACUGGAGAGGAAAGCGGAAUUCCUGGUGUAGAGGUGAAAUUCGUAGAUAUCAGGAGGAACACCGGUGGCGAAGGCGGCUUUCUGGACAGUUACUGACGCUGAGACGCGAAAGCGUGGGGAGCAAACAGGAUUAGAUACCCCAGUAGUCC